CUGGUGUCAGCCGCCGCGGUAAUACCACCACCCCGAGUGGACGGGACGUUUAUUGGGCCUAAAGCAUCCGUAGCCGGUUCUACAAGUCUUCCGUUAAAUCCACCUGCUUAACGGAUGGGCUGCGGAAGAUACUAUAGAGCUAGGACGCGGGAGAGGCAAGCGGUACUCGAUGGGUAGGGGUAAAAUCCGCUGAUCCAUUGAAGACCACCAGUGGAGAAGGCGGCUUGCCACAACCCGCUCGACGGUGAGGGAUGAAAGCUGGGGGAGCAAACCGGAUUAGAUACCCGGGUAGUCCCAGCUGUAAACGAUACAGACUCGGUGAUGAGUUGGCUUAUUGCUAACUCAUUGCCGCAGGGAAGCCGUUAAGUUUGCCGCCUGGGGAGUACGGUCGCAAGACUGAAACUUAAAG
rnacentral:rRNA from 2 species